GGCCGGUUAGCUCAGCUGGUUAGAGCGUGGUGCUAAUAACGCCAAGGUCGCGGGUUCGAGUCCCGUAUUGGCCA
rfam:Danio rerio chromosome 3, GRCz11 reference primary assembly.